GAUGCAUCGACAGACAUAUACGCGCGUCCUUUCUUAUCAGUGAUGCAAUUUAUUUAUCAGCUAUGCAUCUUCUGGUAAUUGCUAACAACUGUUUCAGUUUUCGUUUAGGACUGUGUCUGCAUCACUGGCAUAAUUGCACAAGAAAGGCACAUGUGUCGUUCAGUUUUGAGUUCGCUGGAAAAUCAUACUGAGACUGAAUACACCACUCUUGCAUUCACCUGCAUCUCUCACAGUAAGGGGAUGCUCGUUCAGUUUUCAACUCCAUUCAGAAUCUUAGAAUGUGAGAAUAACAGUGUAAAAGAACCUGUUGCAAAGAGAGCCAAAGCAAAGCAGCCCACUUGGUCAUGGAAAUGGGGAUUCCUGCCUGCACAAGAACCUGGACCACAGCUAAGACCAUGUGAUGCACACACUCCCAUGAGUUAUUUUAUGUGAU